rnacentral:rRNA from 1 species
GCCACUAGCCCCCCAAGUAUUAGAGGUAGUGCCUGCCCAGUGAUUUAUUAAACGGCCGCGGUAACAUGACCGCGCGAAGGUAGCAUAAUCACUUGUCUUUUAAAUAAAGACUGGAAUGAAUGGCUACACGAGGUUCUAUCUGUCUCUUACAAACAAUCAGUGAAAUUGAUCUCCUCGUGCAAAAGCGAGAAUACCCACAUAAGACGAGAAGACCCUGUGGAACUUCAAGUAUUAACCAACAUACUUCCUCAUCUCUACCCUAAGGGAAAAAACAAGCCGAAGUAUCCCCUGGUUAUUGCUUUUGGUUGGGGCGACCUCGGAGCAAAACAAAACCUCCGAAAAGAGUAUAUUCUCAUACCAAGAAUUACACCUCAAAGUGCCUUAAAGCAAAACGAUCCAAUAUAUUUGAUCAACGAACAAAGCUACCCCAGGGAUAACAGCGCAAUCCCUUCUUAAAGUCCAUAUUGACGAUGGGGGUUUACGACCUCGAUGUUGGAUCAGGACAUCCUGAUGGUGCAGCAGCUAUUAAGGGUUCGUUUGUUCAACGAUUAACAGUCCUACGUGAU